UACAGAGGUGGCAAGCGUUGUUCGGAAUUACUGGGCGUAAAGGGCGCGUAGGCGGCCUACUAAGUCAGACGUGAAAUCCCCCGGCUUAACCUGGGAACUGCGUCUGAUACUGGAAGGCUUGAGGAUGGGAGAGGGAUGUAGAAUUCCAGGUGUAGCGGUGAAAUGCGUAGAUAUGUGGAGGAAUACCGGUGGCGAAGGCGGCCUCCUGGUUCAAUACUGACGCUGAGGUGCGAAAGCGUGGGGAGCAAACAGG
rnacentral:rRNA from 1 species